rnacentral:rRNA from 1 species
UACGUAGGGGGCAAGCGUUGUCCGGAUUUAUUGGGCGUAAAGAGCGUGUAGGCGGUUUGGUAGGUCCGUUGUGAAAACUCGAGGCUCGACCUCGAGACGCCGAUGGAAACCAUCAGACUAGAGUCCGGAAGAGGAGAGUGGAAUUCCUGGUGUAGCGGUGAAAUGCGCAGAUAUCAGGAAGAACACCCGUGGCUAAGGCGGCUCUCUAGUACGGUACUGACGCUGAGACGCGAAAGCGUGGGGAGCGAACAGG